rnacentral:rRNA from 1 species
UACGAAGGGGGCUAGCGUUGCUCGGAAUCACUGGGCGUAAAGCGCACGUAGGCGGAUUUUUAAGUCAGGGGUGAAAUCCUGGAGCUCAACUCCAGAACUGCCUUUGAUACUGAAGAUCUUGAGUUCGGGAGAGGUGAGUGGAACUGCGAGUGUAGAGGUGAAAUUCGUAGAUAUUCGCAAGAACACCAGUGGCGAAGGCGGCUCACUGGCCCGAUACUGACGCUGAGGCACGAAAGCGUGGGGAGCAAACAGG